GGGGUGAAGGGAAAUGCCACAGACAUCCAUGGUCUUGGAUGCUCAACAGAAGUGCUUGCCUUGGUGAUCCAAAAAAGGCAGGAUCCGGCCGGGGGCAAGGUGAUUAUUCUGUCUGAUGAGGAGAAUAAGAGCCAGUUUGUGGUAUUGACAGAAGAAUGAAAGUAAAGUCUUGAAAGAUGGGAAGAUCAGGAGCAGUCUGGAGUCAUGGUAUAUGAAUGAACUAGUGAGAGUGGGCACAAAGUCUGAAGAUCUUUGUAGUGCAGCUAAUGUCUAAGGGAGAAUAUACCUACCCUAGAAGAGACAUUAAACAACCAGAAACUCACUUUACAGGAAAAGAGGUGCAACAGUGGCUGGAUGAUUAUAAGAUCGACUGUUCCUAUUAAAAACUACACCAUCCAAAAGAGGCUGCCAUUGAAGAGCAAUAAAGUAGUUCAUAGAAGGCAUAGGAAGCUUACUGCAGGAAAGAAAUCCCUCAGAGUCCUGAAGAUACAGCUUUCAGAACUUAGGUGAAGCAAGAGGACUCAAGGUGUGCAAGAAUGGACAGUACAGAAUGCUCUGCUACACUGCUCAGAUUCCCCCUUCAGGAAGGAAGGACAAAUUCACUCAACUUCUGGGAGCAUUGAUGGUUGAGCUCUCAGCCAUCAGACCUUUUUGGAAGUUGCCCUCUUCUGAAAAGAGGCACAUUGCCCAAGAUCUUUCCUCCUCCAGAGCGCAGGCUGCACCUGAAGUCUGAUUGAUGUGGGGUUGUUAAUAUUCUACUUUAAAAUUUUAAAGUAAUUUUUAUGGAAAAUUUGAUCAUAAUUUUUAAUAACUAUAAUAGAAAAUUCUAAAAAUUCAAAAGUUCAACCAAUCUACAAAGGCCAAAAAUAUUUUCACAGGCCCCCAAAAGAUGAACUCCAAUCUGCUGCCCCUAAACGCAUUCUCCACUGUCUGGAAGAUGUGCAAAGGCAACGGCACAGCGUUCUCCAUCUCAAAUCCUUCAAAGUGCUGUCAGAAUAAAAGAAUCCCCACCAAAA
rnacentral:lncRNA from 1 species